ACUCCUACGGGAGGCAGCAGUGGGGAAUAUUGCNGCAAUGGGCGAAAGCCUGACNCAGCCAUACCGCGUGUGUGAAGAAGGCUCUCGGGUCGUAAAGCACUUUAAGUAGGGAGGAAGGUCUGUAAGUUAAUAGCUUGCAGAAUUGACGUUACCUACAGAANAAGCACCGGCUAACUCC
rnacentral:rRNA from 1 species